rnacentral:rRNA from 1 species
GAUGAACGCUAGCGGCAGGCUUAAUACAUGCAAGUCGAGGGGCAGCAUGAUUGUAGCAAUACAAUUGAUGGCGACCGGCAAACGGGUGCGGAACACGUACACAACCUUCCAACAAGUGGGGGAUAGCCCAGAGAAAUUUGGAUUAAUACCCCGUAACAUAGCGAUGUGGCAUCACAUUGCUAUUAUAGAUUUUUCGCUUGUUGAUGGGUGUGCGGCUGAUUAGAUAGUUGGCGGGGUAACGGCCCACCAAGUCUACGAUCAGUAGCUGAUGUGAGAGCAUGAUCAGCCACACGGGCACUGAGAAACGGGCCCGACUCCUACGGGAGGCAGCAGUAAGGAAUAUUGGACAAUGGACGCAAGUCUGAUCCAGCCAUGCCGCGUGAAGGAUUAAGGUCCUCUGGAUUGUAAACUUCUUUUAUAAGGGACGAAAAAAGGCUUUUCUAAGUCGUCUGACGGUACCUUAUGAAUAAGCACCGGCUAACUCCGUGCCAGCAGCCGCAGUAAUAC